UAAAGGGGGAUCCCCAGAUCGGCCACUUCUCCUCCUGCCCGCUGCCAUAGCUGUUGCCUUGGUCCCUGAACCCCUGGCCAAGUGGCUGAUGGACUUGGGACUGACCGCAAGUUCUGGUACUCUCCAAAGGAAUCUCAAACCACUCCACAGGCCACAACACAGAAUGCCGGCCCUGUCCACAGCCCCAGCCACGGAGACAGCCAGGGAGGUCCGGCCACUGCACCCCGAGGAAAGGGCUGCUUUCGGCACUCUGCGUGGAGGUCCUGGCUUCUGCCGUCCCUGGAGGCUCCGUUCCCGUUUCGCCAGCUAUUUUGCUGCCUCGGCCAUCUGUUCCCUCCCUGUCAUCUCCUCUCUGCUUUAACCUUAACCACUACUUCACUGCAGAUGGUACCAGGCAGUUCUGCUCUCGACAUCCUUCACGACGCCUGGCCCUCCUUCUCAUCUCCAGCAAGUGAACCGCUCUGUCCUUUUUAAAGCCUCAUCCCAAAGACACGGCCAGAGCUUGGAGUUGGAUUCGCCCCACACAACUCCCCCUCUUUGAUGCCAUCUGCUUUCAACUCCACCACUGGCCAGGGGCAAACACCUACCCCUUCCCCUGCCUUUUCCUCCUGAGACUUCUUCUCAAACUCGGCCAAGAAGCUCUCCUGGCAUGGACAGCGUGUCUGCUCCGGGUCUCUACCUGGUCUCCAUCAACAGAGCCAUGUAACCGCCCAGAGGGCUCCAGGUCCGCAAGCUGAGGCGGAGGCCAGAAACUCUGAAGUUCACUCCUACUGUGGAGGAACGAGGGCUCGUGCUGGGAGUUUGGGUCAUGAACAGUUUCCCUGUAGAAAAUGGACCUGAACACUCUGCAGUAAGGAAUUGUUUCCCAUGCUGGCAUGGUGGGAACCGAACCAAAACACAUUUUCUAUGUUGUCUGAGCUCACAGGGAACAUCCCUCUGCUGUCCUUGCUGUUAUUCUGGCAUGCUGGUGAGAAAAUGCAUGCAUGGGCUUUACUUAGCAACUCGCUCUGCCUCUCCUCUCUGUCAGGGCGCUCCCCUAAAAUCUCUCCUCUUGACGUCUUUUUUCUGGC
rnacentral:lncRNA from 1 species